rnacentral:lncRNA from 1 species
GCUAGAUCCAGUUUGGGUCUCUCUUGAAGAUAGUUCAUGUUAUUUCGAAACUGUUGCCUGGGACUUUCUGUCACUGCAGUAUGUAAGACUGGUUCAACAUUUGAAAAUCAAUCAGUUUAAUUCACCAUAUCAACAGGCUGAACAAGAAAAGUCAUGUGAUUGUAUCAGCUGACACAGAAAAGCAUUUAACAAAAAUCCAGCACUGAUUUAUGAUUAAAACAAAGAAACAAACUCUCAGCACAUUAGAAAUACAGUGGAGUUAAGAGCAUCUACCAAAACUUUCAGCUAACAUCACACCUAAGACUAAAAGACGGACUCUUUUUCCUUCCAAGAUUGAAACAAGUUCCGAUUUCCUGUGUGCUGGCUUUAUCAACAAAGAGGUUCUCACCAGACAGCAGUCCCUGACAUUCUACAUCUCUACAAGCUUCAUGGAAAGAAUGCUCCAUCUUCUAAAUAAAUCCGGUAAAAUUCUGAAGAUUGAUAAACCUGUCAUCAGCCAUUUGUUGAUCCCUAAAUCAUUUACUGUGGGCAGGGUAUGUGGUGUUCUGAUUGUGCGUGUA